GGAGUUUGAUCCUGGCUCAGAACGAACGCUGGCGGCAGGCCUAACACAUGCAAGUCGAGCGCGCCUUCGGGUGAGCGGCGGACGGGUUAGUAACGCGUGGGAACGUGCCCUUCUCUACGGAAUAGCCUCUGGAAACGGAGAGUAAUACCGUAUACGCCCUUUGGGGGAAAGAUUUAUCGGAGAAGGAUCGGCCCGCGUUAGAUUAGGUAGUUGGUGGGGUAACGGCCUACCAAGCCUACGAUCUAUAGCUGGUUUUAGAGGAUGAUCAGCAACACUGGGACUGAGACACGGCCCAGACUCCUACGGGAGGCAGCAGUGGGGAAUCUUAGACAAUGGGGGCAACCCUGAUCUAGCCAUGCCGCGUGAGUGAUGAAGGCCUUAGGGUCGUAAAGCUCUUUCGCCUGUGAUGAUAAUGACAGUAGCAGGUAAAGAAACCCCGGCUAACUCCGUGCCAGCAGCCGCGGUAAUACGGAGGGGGUUAGCGUUGUUCGGAAUUACUGGGCGUAAAGCGCGCGUAGGCGGAUUAGAAAGUUGGGGGUGAAAUCCCGGGGCUCAACCCCGGAACUGCCUCCAAAACUGCUAGUCUAGAGUUCGAGAGAGGUGAGUGGAAUUCCGAGUGUAGAGGUGAAAUUCGUAGAUAUUCGGAGGAACACCAGUGGCGAAGGCGGCUCACUGGCUCGAUACUGACGCUGAGGUGCGAAAGUGUGGGGAGCAAACAGGAUUAGAUACCCUGGUAGUCCACACCGUAAACGAUGAAUGCCAGUCGUCGGGUAGUAUACUAUUCGGUGACACACCUAACGGAUUAAGCAUUCCGCCUGGGGAGUACGGUCGCAAGAUUAAAACUCAAAGGAAUUGACGG
rnacentral:rRNA from 1 species